rnacentral:rRNA from 1 species
CAAGUCGAACGGCAGCACGGGAGCAAUCCUGGUGGCGAGUGGCGAACGGGUGAGUAAUAUAUCGGAACGUGCCCAAUCGUGGGGGAUAACGCAGCGAAAGCUGUGCUAAUACCGCAUACGAUCUACGGAGAAAGCAGGGGACCUUCGGGCCUUGCGCUAUCAGAUGAGCCUAGGUCGGAUUAGCUAGUUGGUGAGGUAAUGGCUCACCAAGGCGACGAUCCGUAACUGGUCUGAGAGGAUGAUCAGUCACACUGGAACUGAGACACGGUCCAGACUCCUACGGGAGGCAGCAGUGGGGAAUAUUGGACAAUGGGCGAAAGCCUGAUCCAGCCAUGCCGCGUGUGUGAAGAUGUCUUCGGAUUGUAAAGCACUUUAAGUUGGGAGGAAGAGCAGUUACCUAAUACGUGAUUGUUUUGACGUUACCGACAGAAUAAGCACCGGCUAACUCUGUGCCAGCAGCCGCGGUAAUA